UACGAAGGGGGCUAGCGUUGUUCGGAAUUACUGGGCGUAAAGCGCACGUAGGCGGGUUUGUAAGUAGAGGGUGAAAUCCCAGGGCUCAACCCUGGAACUGCCUUCUAGACUGCAAGCCUGGAGGUCAGGAGAGGCGAGUGGAAUACCGAGUGUAGAGGUGAAAUUCGUAGAUAUUCGCAAGAACACCAGUGGCGAAGGCGGCUCACUGGCCCGGUACUGACGCUGAGGUGCGAAAGCGUGGGGAGCAAACAGG
rnacentral:rRNA from 1 species